rnacentral:lncRNA from 1 species
AUGUUUUCCAUUGCAAGGAAAUCUGCCAGUGGUUACAUUAUUCAAGAUUCGUUCAGAAUUUAUUAUGUUGCUCACAAACAAUCUGAUGGAUUCUUUAUGGUUUCCUCAAGAUCUGGCACUUCUAACUCCGUUUUCCUGGAAGUGUAUUUCACAGCUUCUUCUCCUGAUCUAGGAGAUCCUAUCAGAGGAAUACAAAACAUAUACUGUUGGAUCUAAAUCUAGAUUCACUUACAUAAAGAAGAUCAUUGUGUUUUGGCUAUGGCAAAUCCUAUUCAAUUUUCCUUAAAAAUAGUCAUAAUAUGCUUUUUAAAAGUAUGUUAGUGAUGGUACGUAAAGCAGAAAAAGUGCCUGCCUGUGCACACACAUGUGCAUAGAUGUAUCUGUGUGUACAUAUAUUCAGAGAAUGUAGGAUAGCAUAAUAUAUUCAGUAGUUCAGCUAGCAUGAUUAGCUCAGUUCUCAAAACACCUGGUGCCCACAUCAGUAGACAUUUUCCAAGUCACUGAGAUGACAAAGGUGUACUUACCAUGACCAGUGUUCAGGGGGUAGAGAGAGGGAAGACAAGUGAGAUUUCUCCUUCUUCUUGUUUUUGAGCGUUUAGAGCCAAGUGUUCAUUUUCUCCUUGACUGAUGUCGCAUGUACUUUGUGGGAAGCUACUCAAAGAAGAAAAUAAUCCAAGGUCAGAUGAAAAAUUCUUUUUAAAAGUAAGAAAACAACGAAUAUCCAGAAUGUCAAAAUGAUGUAUUUAUUGAUAAAAGAAGUACUCACCUCUUAAACAGAAGACUAUUAACAGAUGAAAGACUGCCUGGAAUUGAAAGACUGAGGAUGGAAAGAGGUUGGUUGACUUCUUUAUUUUGAUGAGAUGAGCAGUGUUCCUAUAACAUGUCCAUUAAAACUUUAUCUUUGUAAAAUCUGAAAAAUGUUAAAUUUUAUUGUAAAUACAGUAUUUAUUUCACAAAUUUUUUUAAUAAAUGUUAAACAACUGGGAAGCUGUAGUUUUGU